rnacentral:rRNA from 1 species
AGUGAACGCUGGCGGCAGGCCUAACACAUGCAAGUCGAACGGUAGCACAGAGGAGCUUGCUCCUUGGGUGACGAGUGGCGGACGGGUGAGGAAUACAUCGGAAUCUACCCUGUCGUGGGGGAUAACGUAGGGAAACUUACGCUAAUACCGCAUACGAACUGAGGUUGAAAGCCGCGGACCGCAAGGCGUCGCGCGAUUGGAUGAGCCGAUGUCCGAUUAGCUAGUUGGCGGGGUAAUGGCCCACCAAGGCGGCGAUCGGUAGCUGGUCUGAGAGGAUGAUCAGCCACACGGGAACUGAGACACGGUCCAGACUCCUACGGGAGGAAGCAGUGGGGAAUAUUGGGCAAUGGGCGCAAGCCUGAUCCAGCCAGGCCGCGUGUGUGAAGAAGGCCUUCGGGUUGUAAAGCACUUUUGUUGGGAAAGAAAUCCUGUCGGUUAAUACCCGGCGGGGCUGACGGUACCCAAAGAAUAAGCACCGGCUAACUUCGUGCCAGCCGCCGCCGUAACAC